GGGUCAGUACUCAAGAGGCUGAAGAGGGCGCACUGCUAACGCGCUAGGGGCUUAACCGCCCGCGCAGGUUCAAAUCCUGUCUGGCCCG
rnacentral:tRNA from 1 species